UGUCAGAGCAUGAUGGCUGGGCCCUGGGCCUGGGCUGAGGGAUGCCCACUGUCAUCUCGAUACGCAUCCCUUUCUGCACCUCGAUGGUCUGGUCGUUGGAGAGAGACGGCACAGGCUUUACAGGACACUCUCGGCCUGUUCCCACACACCCCCACUGCUCAGACUCUGAAUGGCUGUCAUUCGAUUGGGCUACGAGAUGACACUUAUGAACCCAGGAAGAGUGACGUUCUUCAAAGAAGCCCACUCCAUGCUUUCUCAAGCAUCUUUUUUCUUCUCUUAACCUUUGGCUUAAAGUUGAAUGGACAAUGUUGGGGCCAGCAAGAUGGCUCCUUGGGUAAAGGUGCUUGCCACAAAGCCUGAGAACCAAAGUUCAAUCCACAGAAGGAGAGAAAUGACUCCCACACUCCCACAGAUGAUGCCCAUGUACCCGAAUACACAUGGAAUUUAAAAAAGUUUUUUAAUAAAUACCAGCUCUGCUCGCACUGUC
rnacentral:lncRNA from 1 species